GAGGAUGUAGCUCAGGGGUAGAGUGCCUGCUUAGCAUGCACAAGGUCUUGGGUUCAAUCCCCAGUACCUCCA
rnacentral:tRNA from 1 species